rnacentral:rRNA from 1 species
AACGAACGCUGGCGGCAUGCCUAACACAUGCAAGUCGAACGAAGGCUUCGGCCUUAGUGGCGCACGGGUGCGUAACGCGUGGGAAUCUGCCCUUGGGUUCGGAAUAACUCAGAGAAAUUUGAGCUAAUACCGGAUGAUGACGUAAGUCCAAAGAUUUAUCGCCCAAGGAUGAGCCCGCGUAGGAUUAGCUUGUUGGUGAGGUAAAGGCUCACCAAGGCGACGAUCCUUAGCUGGUCUGAGAGGAUGAUCAGCCACACUGGGACUGAGACACGGCCCAGACUCCUACGGGAGGCAGCAGUGGGGAAUAUUGGACAAUGGGCGAAAGCCUGAUCCAGCAAUGCCGCGUGAGUGAUGAAGGCCUUAGGGUUGUAAACCGCUUUUGUCAGGGAAGAAAUACUUCUGGGUUAAUACCUCGGGAGGAUGACGGUACCUGAAGAAUAAGCACCGGCUAACUACGUG